rfam:Octopus bimaculoides Scaffold120101_contig_10, whole genome shotgun sequence.
GUCAGUUUAGCUUAAAGGUAAAGCACUGUGAUACGUAAUCACAGGGAUGUGAGUUCGAGUCUCAUGGCUGGCC